rnacentral:lncRNA from 1 species
AAGAAACAACUUGUUGAUGAUUGGGACUCUGUGACUCAGCAGGAUAAGGUACAAGGAAAACUAUUAAAUUCACUCUUUGUAGUUGUCCACUCAUAUUUGCUAAGAAUAUGCACAUUUGUAGAGUUAGAAUUUAUGCAUUUUUAUGGUUAAGGUGAUCAUAGCCCCCUGAAUCCUCGAGCCAUGUUUUAAUGUCACACAGCAAUUUGAAGCCAUCUCACUGUUUUAGGGGGGUAGUUAGUGUUAGUUGGCUAGUUAGGGCAGAGUCAUUCUUCUGACCUUUAUAAUUUAAGAGAAAGCAAUGUCUUGGUCCUUUCACAAGGAUAAGCCCUUGGAAGAGAAAAAGAGAAUUCUUUCUCCUAUUUUCUGUAAUCUGUUCUAUUUUAUUCUAGGAACAACUUAGAACUAAACUUCAAUAUAACUGUAGAAUAUCAUGCUUUCUUAGCGGUUAAGCUCAGCAAACUACUUGUCUUCUUGCUACCGUAGGUUGGUUUAUUGGAUUCUUCCUUCUGAAAUUUGAAAAGAGGGUGUAGCUGAUAAAGUGAGAAGUAUAUUUUAGAAGGUAAUUAAAUUGCAGAAUUGUAAUAAUUAGUUUAA